UCUUCCGUUGGUUCAUAGUAGCAGGGCGAAAAUGGCGUAGAGCGCAGGGUGCUCAGAGGAGCAGCAGCGGACGACGGGACCUUCUUCUCUCCUCGUCUGGCGAGUGCACGGUGGGGAGAGAAGGGGGUCCAGAAGGUUUUGUGGGUUUGUCAUUCUUUUUAAAUACAUCCUCACCUAGGCGGCCCCUCUCAACACAACAAACCGUCCCGUUUGGGAGACCUGAACGUGUGACCGUAGAAGAAGACCCCCCGUCCCUCCCUCCCUCCCUCGGCUUUUGUUUACCAUUGUGUUGAGCUGCGGCUCAAACCACAGAGGAAAUAUCUCUGCAGUGUCUCCGACCAACUCUCACCAAGGAAGAGACGGAGCCAUGAAACCAGCUGAAGCCCACACCGCAGGAAUGUCUCCCUUCGGAUCUGACCCAGCAUCGCCGACAUAUCACUCCAGCCCGCGGAGGUAAAAGACUCGCUGUCAAGAUGACCUCUUUCUGGGGCGUCUGUGCACGCGGCCGACCUCCUUCCUGCUGCUGCUGGGACGUCGGCCGCCUCUCCUCCGCAGCAUCCCCUCACGUCCCGGCCUCUUUCUGCCGCCCGAUCACCAGUGAGGACGCCUGCCAAGGUUGUUUGGCCGUCUCACUUCCAUUAUGCACACUCUGCCCAUGUGUAAAUGUAGCCUAAAAUUAGUCCGGGUGAUGUUCUUGUCAGGCUGCGCGUCAACAUCAGUCACUGCCCCUGGAAAAUAAAAAAAAAAAAAAAAAAAAAAAAUA